rnacentral:tRNA from 1 species
GCGGAUGUGGCGAAAUUGGUAGACGCACCAGAUUUAGGUUCUGGCGCUGAGAGGCGUGGGGGUUCAAGUCCCUCCAUCCGCACCA